AUUGAACGCUGGCGGCUGGCUUAACACAUGCAAGUCGAGCGGAGAGAGGUAGCUUGCUACUGAUCUUAGCGGCGGACGGGUGAGUAAUGCUUAGGAAUCUGCCUAUUAGUGGGGGACAACAUUUCGAAAGGAAUGCUAGUACCGCAUACGUCCUACGGGAGAAAGCAGGGGAUCUUCGGACCUUGCGCUAAUAGAUGAGCCUAAGUCGGAUUAGCUAGUUGGUGGGGUAAAGGCCUACCAAGGCGACGAUCUGUAGCGGGUCUGAGAGGAUGAUCCGCCACCCGGGGACUGAGACACGGCCCAGCCUCCUACGGGAGGGAGCAGUGGGGAAUAUUGGACAAUGGGCGGAAGCCUGAUCCAGCAAUGCCGCGUGUGUGAAGAAGGCCUUAUGGUUGUAAAGCACUUUAAGCGAGGAGGAGGCUACUUUAGUUAAUACCUAGAGAUAGUGGACGUUACUCGCAGAAUAAGCACCGGCUAACUCUGUGCCAGCCGCCGCAGUAAUAC
rnacentral:rRNA from 1 species